CAUAUGUUUGUUGGCCACAUAAAUGUCUUCUUUUGAGAACUGUCUAUUCAUAUUCUUCACCCACUUUUUGAUGGGGUUGUUUGUUUUUUUCUUGUAAAUUUGUUUAAGUUCUUUGUAGAUUCUGGAUAUUAGCCCUUUGUCAGAUGGAUAGAUUGCAAAAAUUUUCUCCCAUUCUGUAGGUUUCUUAUUCACUCUGAUGAUAGUUUCUUUUGCUGUGCAGAAGCUCUUUAGUUUAAUUAGAUCCCAUUGGUCAAUUUUGGCUUUUGUUGCCAUUGCUUUUAGUGUUUUAGUCAUGAAGUCUUUGCCCAUGCCUAUGUCCUUAAUGGUAUUGCCUAGGUUUUCUUCUAUGGUUUUUAUAGUGGGGUUUCGCCAAGUUGGCCAGGCUGGUCUCGA
rnacentral:lncRNA from 1 species